rnacentral:tRNA from 1 species
GCGCUCGUAGCUCAAUUGGAUAGAGCGUCUGACUACGGAUCAGAAGGUUGGGGGUUCGAGUCCUCCCGAGCGCGCAA